rnacentral:tRNA from 1 species
GCCGUGGUGGUGCAAUGGUAAAGCACUCAGCUGCUAACUGAAAGGCUGGUGGUUGAAACCCACCCAGUGGCU